GAUCUUUUUAUUACCGCAACACUAUCGGUACACUUGUCGAGAAGUCAUCAAGUUUUUGGCGUUGUUGUCGAGGACUGUUGAUUGCAAGAAGGCGACAUUUAAUUUCGUUUUUUAGGUUAUAUUUUUUUUUGUUUUCAAUUCUAAAUAUUUUUUGUAAUUAGUUAUUUUUGUUUCUUCUUAAAUUUUCUUUCCUAUUCUUU
rnacentral:lncRNA from 1 species